AUUGAACGCUGGCGGCAGGCCUAACACAUGCAAGUCGAACGAGUGGCGGACGGGUGAGUAAUGUCUGGGAAACUGCCUGAUGGCGGGGGAUAACCACUGGAAACGGUAGCUAAUACCGCAUACCAUCAGAUGUGCCCAGAUGGGAUUAGCUUGUUGGUGGGGUAACGGCUCACCAGGGCGACGCUCCCUAGCUGGUCUGAGAGGAUGACCAGCCAAACUGGGAUUGAGACACGGUCCAGACUCCUACGGGAGGCAGCAGUGGGGAAUAUUGCACAAUGGGCGCAAGCCUGAUGCAGCCAUGCCGCGUGUGUGAAGAAGGUCUUCGGAUUGUAAAGCACUUUAAGUUGGGAGGCGUUACCAGCAGAAUAAGCACCGGCUAACUUCGUGCCAGCAGCCGCGGUAAUUC
rnacentral:rRNA from 1 species